UUGCAUAGGCAUGAAAAUCGCCGAUAAUGGCGGUGAUUGAUGUUUGGGAACAAGGUGAUAUUCCUUGGCUGUACCCGCAACUGUGACGCUAACAGCUCAGUAGGUUGAGCAUGUUAACUUAAGCCAGAUACCAGCAUUGAUUUACUAUUUAC
rnacentral:ncRNA from 2 species